AAUAGAUACCCGGGUAGUCCACGCCGUAAACGAUGAGUGCUAAGUGUUAGAGGGUUUCCGCCCUUUAGUGCUGAAGUUAACGCAUUAAGCACUCCGCCUGGGGAGUACGGCCGCAAGGCUGAAACUCAAAGGAAUUGACGGGGGCCCGCACAAGCGGUGGAGCAUGUGGUUUAAUUCGAAGCAACGCGAAGAACCUUACCAGGUCUUGACAUCCUCUGACAACCCUAGAGAUAGGGCUUCCCCUUCGGGGGCAGAGUGACAGGUGGUGCAUGGUUGUCGUCAGCUCGUGUCGUGAGAUGUUGGGUUAAGUCCCGCAACGAGCGCAACCCUUGAUCUUAGUUGCCAUCAUUCAGUUGGGCACUCUAAGGUGACUGCCGGUGACAAACCGGAGGAAGGUGGGGAUGACGUCAAAUCAUCAUGCCCCUUAUGACCUGGGCUACACACGUGCUACAAUGGACGGUACAAAGAGUCGCGAGACCGCGAGGUGGAGCUAAUCUCAUAAAACCGUUCUCAGUUCGGAUUGUAGGCUGC
rnacentral:rRNA from 1 species